rnacentral:rRNA from 1 species
UACAGAGGGGGCAAGCGUUGUUCGGAAUUAUUGGGCGUAAAGAGCGUGUAGGCGGCCAGACAGGUCAGCUGUGAAAACUCGAGGCUCAACCUCGAGACGUCGGUUGAAACCGUCUGGCUAGAGUCCGGAAGAGGAGAGUGGAAUUCCCGAUGUAGCGGUGAAAUGCGCAGAUAUCGGGAAGAACACCCGUGGCGAAGGCGGCUCUCUGGGACGGUACUGACGCUGAGACGCGAAAGCGUGGGGAGCGAACAGG